rnacentral:rRNA from 1 species
GACGAACGCUGGCGGCGUGCCUAAUACAUGCCAGUCGAACGCAGUGGGGACGGGUGAGUAACACGUGGGUAACCUCCCAUCAGAGGGGAUAACACUUGGAAAAAGGUGCUAAACCGAUACUGAUGGAUGGACCCGCGGUGCAUUAGCUAGUUGGUGAGGUAACGGCUCACCAAGGCCACGAUGCAUAGCCGGCCUGAGAGGGUGAGCGGCCACACUGGGAGUGAGACACGGCCCAGAUGCCUACGGGAGGCAUCAGUAGGAACUUUUCCGCUACGGACGCAAGUCUGACCGAGCGACUCCGCGUGAGUGAAGAAGGUCUUCGGAUUGGAAGACUCUGUUGUUGCAGAAGCGGUAUCGAACCAGAAGGCGACGGCUGACUACGUGCCAGCCGCCGCGGUAAUAC